UACGGGGGGGGCAAGCGUUGUUCGGAAUUACUGGGCGUAAAGGGCUCGUAGGCGGCCAACUAAGUCGGAUGUGAAAUCCCCAGGCUUAACCUGGGAACUGCAUCCGAUACUGGAUGGCUUGAAUCCGGGAGAGUGAUGCAGAAUUCCAGGUGUAGCGGUGAAAUGCGUAGAUAUCUGGAGGAAUACCGGUGGCGAAGGCGGCAUCCUGGACCGGCAUUGACGCUGAUGAGCGAAAGCUAGGGGAGCAAACAGG
rnacentral:rRNA from 1 species